rnacentral:rRNA from 1 species
GAGUUUGAUCCUGGCUCAGAUUGAACGCUGGCGGCAUGCCUUACACAUGCAAGUCGAACGGCAGCACGGGGGCAACCCUGGUGGCGAGUGGCGAACGGGUGAGUAAUACAUCGGAACGUGUCCUGUAGUGGGGGAUAGCCCGGCGAAAGCCGGAUUAAUACCGCAUACGCUCUACGGAGGAAAGGGGGGGAUCUUAGGACCUCCCGCUACAGGGGCGGCCGAUGGCAGAUUAGCUAGUUGGUGGGGUAAAGGCCUACCAAGGCGACGAUCUGUAGCUGGUCUGAGAGGACGACCAGCCACACUGGGACUGAGACACGGCCCAGACUCCUACGGGAGGCAGCAGUGGGGAAUUUUGGACAAUGGGGGCAACCCUGAUCCAGCAAUGCCGCGUGUGUGAAGAAGGCCUUCGGGUUGUAAAGCACUUUUGUCCGGAAAGAAAACGCCGUGGUUAAUAUCCCGUGGCGGAUGACGGUACCGGAAGAAUAA